GGCCACUGCUAUGACAACAACAAAAAAAAAAGACAAAGAUUUCAUGACAUUUACCAAGUCAUUUGAACAGUAUACUAUGAUUCAUGAUAAUUAUGAUGAAAAGAAGCAUCAUCAUAAUCGAUGAUUCAAAACUUGGACUGCUUUGACUAACCACCAUGACCAGCAAUUUUCCUGGCAAGUGAGUACAGCAAGUGAAUAUAAAAUCAAACUGAAAAUGAAAGCUUUUAAUCUCUUCCUUGCAGCCUUCCUGGGGAGGAGAUGCAUUUUUACCACUAGCAUGUAGCCUCUCAUUAUGUCCAAAUCAGUUCAG
rnacentral:lncRNA from 11 species